ensembl:lncRNA
GGGCUCCUCUCCACGGGCUGCAGCUCCGGCCCGGGGCCUGCUCCUGCGGGGGCUCUCCAUGGGCCGCAGCCUCCUCCAGGCCACAUCCACCUGCUCCACGGGGGGCCUGCUCCACAGGCCACAGGGGAACUUCUACACCAGCAUCUGGAGCACCUCCUGCCCUUCUUUCUUCAUUGACUUUGGGAUCUGCAGGGCUGGUUCUCACUCAUUGCUCUCUCAGCUGCUAUUGCCGCAGUUUUUCUUUCUGAAACCUGCUCUUACAGAGGCGCAAAUAAUGUCGCUUACUGGCUUGGCUCUGGGCAGGGGCGGGUCCCUGUGAAGCCGGCUGAAACAGGCCCUUAUCUAACAUGAGGCAGCUUCUAGAUUCUUCUCACAGAGGCCACUCCUGCAGCCCCCACUACCAAAAUCUUUUGACAUAAACCCAAUACAUGGACUUUCUCCGUUAUGUCCAUAUUUCUCAUGCACUGGGGAUCCCAGAACUUGACAUAGUACUCCAGGUGUGAGGCCACCUGGAUUACCAAACAGAGGGUAAGGAUCACGUCCCUCAACCUGCUGACCACACUUCUCCUAAUUUAGCCUAGAAUACCGUCGGCCUUCUUUGCUGCCAUGACUCACUACUGACUCUUGUUCAUCUUGGUGUCUAUGAGGACUCCCGGUCCUUCUCCGCAAAGCAACUUUCCAGCCAUCUGAGUGAACACGGGUCCAAAUGCAAAGCAUAACAAGGUACACCUUCAAGGGUGUGCAAACUGUAAAAGGUCAUAAUCUGCAGGUGCAAAUACAUUCACCAAACUUCUCUGGAGUACAGCUUGAUUCUGAUAAAGGAAGGAGGAAGGCUGAAUUCCCCUCUGUUACAUGCAGAUUAGCUCUCUGCUUGCUAUCAAUAUACACAUCAGCUAGACAAAGUUCGGACAGCGCUCUUUUAAAGACAGCUCCAGUUUUCCUGAAGGGAAAGAUCUGUUGGGCAUUAGCUGUGGAGGUAAAUAACUGACCAUAAAGAAUGUGAGAGGAGAGAAUUAGCUUGCAAUGGGUUGUAUUUAUUUAUACAGAAAUUCUGAUAUAUUGUGUUAGGUACAUCUAGCUGUGUCCUGAGUUUUACAUUUUUAUACUCAAUUUUUAGCAUGUAUUUCAGAUUGUAAACUUUAAACAAUGACAGCACUUUCCUAGGUUAAAGAACAGUGAUGACCUGAGGGUGGGUCUGUGCUGUUGAGAGGAGGUAUUGCAGAGCUCCCUGAGCACCUGGAGCUGUGCAACAUUAAGUCUUCACACUGCUGCAGUGGCUUUGGGGUUGGAUAUAUGCUGUACUCAUCAAAACCUCUGCUUUUGAUUUUAGUACAAGCAAAGCCAAUGUCUGCGUCCCUGACAUGUAAGACAUAGACUUAGCAUUCACAGUGAUGUUUACUUACUUGUCAGGUUCUUCCAGCUGUGCCAAAAAUCACAACUUUAUGUAUUCAUUCAAUAUAACAAUAUGCUGGUCUGAUUAAGAAGGUCGGUUGGCUUUCUUACAAAACAAACAAACAGUCAAAAAAAAAAAAAUUAAAUAAAUCUUUCUUUCUUUCUCUGAAGCA